ensembl:lncRNA
AACUCCUCUGACCCAGUGGUUUAUCAGAACCUCUGGGGAUCCUGUGGAUCCUGUGGAUUCUGUGGAUCCUGUGGGUUGCAGGGUGGGUCCUACCUAGACCAGGCUGAUCCUGGACCAUCCCACAGAUGCUCCAUCAGAUCUGGAUGUGGGGAGUGUGGAACCCAGAUGUUCAGAGGGAGAUGAUGCCACAUCUGGUCCAGCAGAUGGAAGGUCUUGAAGUUCUCUGACUGGCCUGGACUGAAGAUGGUCGUCUCACUGGAUUUAAGGUUCAGAUGCUCAGUAACAAACUCCACCAAUGAGCCAACAGGGAAGCUGUAGGUUUAUUAAAUGUUGCUAUGAAGGUUUCACUGUUUUUCUUUGUGGAUGCAAUGUGCUCCAACUGAAACUUGAAUUAGAACUUAGAAGUAAAUCCUUCCAUCUGAAAGGAUUUAGUUGCAUUAAUAACCUCAUAACAUUCUAAUUUUUAUUCCAGUCUUGGUUGGAAAUAGAAUCUCUGUAUUGAUUCAGGUAAAAACUGAACUUCACAGCAUGUUGGAGCAAAACAACCAGAUGAAAACUGUGAUGGUGUUGGAUUGUCAGACCGUAAUGUUGCAGCUCAAAGCAGCUUUUCUAUCUCAGUUCAUUCUGACAUUCAGCUAUGAAUCAACACAGCAGAUGGUGAUCCAUGCUGUGGAAAUCUCACAUCUCCUGAUUUAAUGGAGCUGCUUUGCACUUUUUACACUGUUUAUUCACCAACACUUUAUUUAAUGAAAGUCCCAUCUAGUUUUUAUGAGGAAUGUGAUGUUUUAAUUUCUCUGAAUAACUGCAGUCUAAUGGAAGAGCUGGAACUGUAACAUCUGUCCUGAUAUUGAUCAUGAAGUAUUGAUCAGAAUACUUAUGGUUAGCAGUCAUCCCUGAAGUUUUACAUUAAAAUCAUUACUUGUGUUGUGAACUUUGGUAAGAAGCAGAAACUUUAGCGUUGCCAUGGAUACAUGAGUGUUAAAUUCUGUCCAUGUUUCCAUUUUGGGAAAUUCAGUCCAUCAGAUGAGUUUGUUUUUACUGCCAGCUACCAUUCAGUCUGAGAUAUUAAGAAUAAAUAAAUGUGCAUAAUGUGGAAAUGAAGAGAUUUUAUUUUUAUUUAUUCCUACAGCUGCUGCAUGGAAAGUUCCAGAAUGUGGAGGAAUUUAGUCUCAUAAUCACAGACAAUAAAUAUUAUCUGAAAGUCAGGUUAUUGUUGUUUAUCAGCACAAUACAAAAAGAUUAAUGUUAGAAAUAUUGCAGUUAAGACUCUAGAAUAUCAUGAUUGAUGUAAAUUUACAUCAAUAAUAUGAAUGUUCAGGUUAAGAUUGUGCAGUGAUAUUUAUUCUGUAAGUUUAGCUGAUUAAAGUUUAUGACUCUGAUUAUUUAAAUUGACAUCAUUAUUCUAAUAUUUAGGGUCAGACCCUACAGUAUUGAGAUUAAGAAAUCAAAUAUUCUAUAAAAUGUAAAUACACUGAACUCAUUUGGAUAUAUUUAAGUGAGACUCUACAAUAUUAUGUGACACAAAUCUAUCUAAAUCCAAAUUUUAAUCAUUUUUCUCCAAACAUUUACUGGACUGAUUUAAACUUUAAAAUCACUCCUUUCUAAUCCUCUGCUGUACGUUCAAACCUGAGGCCUUAAAUAGAAACACACAAGUAUCUGAUUGAAGGAACUUCUGCAGAGUCCUGGUUCCAGAACAUGAUGAUAGAAUUAUAGACAAACUUUAACAAAAGCUGCCUGAGAGUUUACAGGUUUUUAUGUUGGAUUUCUUCAGUAAUUUAAUGAGAGUUAUCAGCAAAAAUCAAGUGUUCAUUUGAUGAACUUCAUUUCCUAAAACAUCCAGAAUUGGAGCUCGUAUCUUUGGCAGCUGUAAAGUUUCUGCUCCUUCAAAGUUCACAACACAAUGAAUGAAUUCCUAAAACACUCUCAAUGCUGGAGAGCGUUUGAUGCUGAAGCAGUGAGCAGUUUUUCUGUUUCUUCUCUGGAGAUGCACAAUGAGGGACGUCUGCAGCGACUGAGAAAGAGUCUCACCACAUCCUGACAUGAGGAAAAAGACUUUAUUGAAGACUACAAUGAGAAAAACUAUCAGACAGCAGACGGCUGCAUUCAAGUCUGUAGCUGCUGAAUUCAUGGAUGAAUCAUCUGGCACUAGAGAAGAAGACCAUCAAACAUCCACGUCAGCUGAUGGAGGUCCAAGAGUCUCACCCAACAAACAACCUACAGAAUGAAGACCUCCAAUCUGAUUGGACGGCCUCCUAUUCAGCCACAUGUGUGAACAAAUGCCUCUAAGCUGAUUUGUUUUCUAAAAUUUGUUUUCUGGAACCAGCUCCCAGUUUGGGUUCGGGAGGCGGACACCCUCUCUAUUUUUAAGACCAGGCUUAAAACCUUCCUUUUUGACAAAGCUUAUAGUUAGGGCUGACUGGGUGACCCUGACGGGGUGAGCUGGUUUUCAUUUGCACAACUGACUUCCCCUCUUGACGUCCCUUUAGUUUGCCCCUAGUUAUGCUGCUAUAGGCCUAGGCUGCUGGGGAACCUCUCUGGAUGCACUGAGCCCUUCUCUAACUACCUAUGUAUUUACUAUAUAUACCAUUAUUGCAUUACAUUCACUCUGUUUCUUUCUGUGUCCUUUCUCCGAGUGUCCCUGGUCCCAGAGCUGGAUGCUGGAUGCUUCAGAUGUGUGGCUGUGUUUUAUGGUCCUUGUGUCCCACCCCCCCACCUCUCUAUCUCUACCCCUCUACCUCCAUCCCUCUAUCUCUACCUUUCUACCUCUUCUGUCCCUCUCAACCCACCCGGCCAGCAGCAGAUGGGUCCCCCCACAUUAGAGCCGGGUUCUGCUCGAGGUUUUUUUCCCUGUUAAAAGGGUGUUUUCCUUGCCACUGUCUCCUUAGGGCUGCUCUGGGGGUCAGCCAUAUGGGUUCUGUAAAGCGUCUCGAGACAAUUUGACUGUAAUUGGCGCUAUAUAAAUAAAAUUGAAUUAAAAAAAUAAAUAAAUAAAUCUAGUUUAAGUCCUAAUCUAUGCCUGUGUGUUUGCUUCUUUACACUGCUGUUAACAGUUUAGGCUGUUAGAUUGUUCCAGAUAAGACAAGUACAAGAUUCUUCAGAGCCGUUCCACCAUGAGCCUGACAGGAAGAACUCCAACAGCUACUGAAUGUUCCUGUGGUUCCCUCAAGGCUACAGGAGGAGUCCUACGAGGACGAGCCGGUCCACCUGAUGGUGGCCAGUCACUGCAGUUCAAAGCCAACACCGACUACGUGGACUUCUACUGGACCACACGGAGGCCUUCAAACCGGACCAACAAGUUCAGCGACUCCCCGACUCGUGGGUCUGAGGACGCCGCCGAGCCUCGGUCCAGCCAGCCUCCUGUCUGUGGGUGUUUGAGUGCUGAGAGGUUUGUGGAUGCAUGUGAACGUUCUGUGUUGAAACAGCAGCUUUGGACUCAGUAACGCCGGGAAAAACCAAGAGCUCCUUUAUUUGUGACUUCCACUAAAAAACUGAUGAAAAUAAGUUUGCCAGGGUUCUGACUGAUAACAGAUUAUUAAAUAAUGAAAAUAAUCGUUUAAAUAUUCCUUUAAACAAUCUUUUAGGGCUACAUUUCCUUUACACUGACUUCUUGGUAAAUGUACUAGUAUUUAGGGUGGAAUAUACCAUUAAGCCCGAUGUUCAAGGGUUCUUCUGGGAAUAUACUAUUAAACCAACCUUUUAGGUAAAUGUUCCAGGAUGUUGGGUAGAAUAUACCAUCAGAUAAACCUUUUAGGUCUACAUUGGAAGAUUUUACAGUAGAAUAUUACUCCAAUCCAUCCUUUAGGUCAACAUUUAAGGUGGAAUACUCCUUUACACCAAGAUUUUUUGGUCUACAUUGAAGGAUUUUUGGUGGAAUAUUUCUUUGGAUGAACUUUUUAAGUUUAUGUUCAAGGAUGUUGGUGGAAUAUAACAUCAGACCAACCUCCAAGGUCUACAGUAGUGAAUUUUAGGUGGAAUAUACCAUUAAACUCACCUUUUAGGUCUACAUUGGAGGAUUUUAGGUGGAAUUUUCUUCCAAACCAUCUUUUAGUCUACAUUUAAGGAUGUUUAGGAUGGUAUAUUCUUCCAAACCAACUUCUCAGGUCUACAUUUCAGGUGGAAUAUUCCUCCAUACUAACUUUUUUGGUCUACAUUGAAGGAUUUUUUCUAAACCACCCUUUGGGGUCUAUAUUUGAGGUUUUAGGUGGAAUAUUCCUUUUAACCAGCCCCUCGGGUCUCUUUGAGGAUUUUGGAUGGAAUACUCAGUUAAAGCAACAUUUUAGGUGCAUGUCCAAGGAUUUUUGGUGGAAUGUUACUUUAAGGUGGAUGUGUGAGGACCUUGUAGGUGGAAUACUUCCUGAAACCAACCUUUUAGGUCAACAUUCAAAGAUUUAAGGUGGAAUAUUCCUUUAAACCAACCUAAAUUUCAUGUUUUGAUCAUUAUCAAGUGAGAAACCUCAAUCCAGACUCCUCAUAAUGACGUUUGAGAUUUAUGCUGCUGUUAUUUGUUUAGUCCAGACUAAAUAACAGAAAUCCACAACUGUAAUUUUAUUGCAGGACUCGGUUAUUAAAUGUCAAAACAAUCCAUGUGACUCUAAAAACUCAACAGCUUUACAAACUCUAAGAUUAAACUCUCCACAAGGAUCCAAAAUAAGUUGGACUUCUACAUGAGAGCUUUAAUUAUUCUUCAUCUACUUUCUGAAAAGUUUGGUCAAUAAAAAAGACAAAAACUAAUAUUUUCAGCUG